UACGAAGGGGGCUAGCGUUGUUCGGAAUUACUGGGCGUAAAGCGCACGUAGGCGGAUACUUAAGUCAGGGGUGAAAUCCCGGGGCUCAACCCCGGAACUGCCUUUGAUACUGGGUAUCUCGAGUCCGGAAGAGGUGAGUGGAAUUCCGAGUGUAGAGGUGAAAUGCGUAGAUAUCGGAAGGAACAUCAGUGGCGAAAGCGACUUCCUGGACCAAUACUGACGCUCAUGUGCGAAAGCGUGGGGAGCAAACAGG
rnacentral:rRNA from 1 species